AGUGAACGCUGGCGGUAGGCCUAACGCAUGCAAGUCGAACGGCAGCACAGUAAGAGCUUGCUCUUACGGGUGGCGAGUGGCGGACGGGUGAGGAAUACAUCGGAAUCUACAUUUUCGUGGGGGAUAACGUAGGGAAACUUACGCUAAUACCGCAUACGACCUACGGGUGAAGGCAGGGGAUCUUCGGACCUUGCGCGAUUGAAUGAGCCGAUGUCGGAUUAGCUAGUUGGCGGGGUAAAGGCCCACCAAGGCGACGAUCCGUAGCUGGUCUGAGAGGAUGAUAAGCCCAACUGGAACUGAGACACGGUCCAGACUCCUAGGGGAGGCAGCAGUGGGGAUUGUUGGACAGUGGGCACAAGCCUGAUCCAGCCAUACCGCGUGGAUGAAGAAGGCCUUCGGGUUGUAAAGCCCUUUUGUUGGGAAAGAAAAGCAGCAGGUUAAUACCCCGCUGUUCUGACGGUACCCAAAGAAUAAGCACCGGCUAACUUCGUG
rnacentral:rRNA from 1 species